CCUUUGAGAAAUUAAGAAGUAGAUGGCAGACAUUAAGCCUUGAUAUAGCUGAAUAGCACCAGCUUCAAAUGGUUACAUUUUGUUUUCUACACAACAGCUAUGAGAAUAAGGGAAGGAAGGGCUGCCAAAGAUUUGUGAGCAGGGAAAUAGAAGCUAUCAAGACAUUCUGAGCAGUUUUUUGGUUGCCAGGACACAUGAGGAACACCUUCUUCACCUGCUUCGAGGAAGGGUGGGAGUUUCAGUUUUUGCUGUGCUCAGUGGAUAUUUUUGGCUGUGGAAGAGGAAAGGCACAGACAAUUUCAGCACCUGGGACUGCAGGAGCGAACGUUUUGUCUACUAGUGAGUAUAUUGUGCCAUUUAUGACAUCUGAGGAUAUCCAAGGCAGCUGCAUGGAACUAGAAGAUAUGAUACAGAAUAUGAGGAAGAUUCACACCCUUCAAAAAUGGGUGGUUCCUAUUAAACAUCUGGACUACAUGUGCUGA
rnacentral:lncRNA from 1 species